rnacentral:rRNA from 1 species
AUUGAACGCUGGCGGCAGGCUUAACACAUGCGAGUCGAACGGAGUGGCGGACGGGUGAGUAAUGCCUAGGAAUCUGCCUGGUAGUGGGGGAUAACGUCCGGAAACGGGCGCUAAUACCGCAUACUAUCAGAUGAGCCUAGGUCGGAUUAGCUAGUUGGUGGGGUAAAGGCCUACCAAGGCGACGAUCCGUAACUGGUCUGAGAGGAUGAUCAGUCACACUGGAACUGAGACACGGCCCAGACUCCUACGGGAGGCAGAAGUGGGGAAUAUUGGACAAUGGGCGAAAGCCUGAUCCAGCCAUGCCGCGUGUGUGAAGAAGGUCUUAGGAUUGUAAAGCACUUUAAGUUGGGAGGCGUUACCAACAGAAUAAGCACCGGCUAACUCCGUGCCAGCAGCCGCGGUAAUAC